CAAUGGGCGAAAGCCUGAUGCAGCGACGCCGCGUGAGGGAUGAAGGCCUUCGGGUUGUAAACCUCUUUCAGCAGGGAAGAAGCGCAAGUGACGGUACCUGCAGAAGAAGCGCCGGCUAACUACGUGCCAGCAGCCGCGGUAAUACGUAGGGCGCAAGCGUUGUCCGGAAUUAUUGGGCGUAAAGAGCUCGUAGGCGGUUUGUCGCGUCUGGUGUGAAAACUCGAGGCUCAACCUCGAGCUUGCAUCGGGUACGGGCAGACUAGAGUGCGGUAGGGGAGACUGGAAUUCCUGGUGUAGCGGUGGAAUGCGCAGAUAUCAGGAGGAACACCGAUGGCGAGCAGGUCUCUGGGCCGCACUGACGCUGAGGAGCGAAAGCAUGGGGAGCGAACAGGAUUAGAUACCUGGUAGUCCAUGCCGUAAACGUUGGGCACUAGGUGUGGGGCUCAUUCCACGAGUUCCGUGCCGCAGCAAACGCAUAAGUGCCCCGCCUGGGGAUACGGCCGCAAGGCUAAAACUCAAAGGAAUUGACGGGGGCCCGCACAAGCGGCGGAGCAUGCGGAUUAAUUCGAUGCAACGCGAAGAACCUUACCAAGGCUUGACAUGCACGAGAAGCCACCAGAGAUGGUGGUCUCUUUGGACACUCGUGCACAGGUGGUGCAUGGUUGUCGUCAGCUCGUGUCGUGAGAUGUUGGGUUAAGUCCCGCAACGAGCGCAACCCUCGUCCCAUGUUGCCAGCGGGUUAUGCCGGGGACUCAUGGGAGACUGCCGGGG
rnacentral:rRNA from 1 species